rnacentral:rRNA from 1 species
CAGUCGCCGCGGUAAUACGUAGGGUGCAAGCGUUAAUCGGAAUUACUGGGCGUAAAGCGUGCGUAGGCGGCUUCUUAAGUCGGAUGUGAAAUCCCUGAGCUUAACUUAGGAAUUGCAUUCGAUACUGGGAAGCUAGAGUAUGGGAGAGGAUGGUAGAAUUCCAGGUGUAGCGGUGAAAUGCGUAGAGAUCUGGAGGAAUACCGAUGGCGAAGGCAGCCAUCUGGCCUAAUACUGACGCUGAGGUACGAAAGCAUGGGGAGCAAACAGGAUUAGAUACCCCGGUAGUCCCUGUCUCUUAUAC